CAGUUCUCCAUUUGCUUAAACCGAUUGUUCAUUGAGCGGCAAAGCAAAAGCGCGCGAGAGAGAAAAGGUUUUCAGUACUCGCUGAGCUCGUCGUAGAUCUCAAUCUUUCGGCCAUUGAGCGGCUGCGCCGGUCGGGCGUUUUUCUUAUACGGUGGUUCCAAUGGCGCCUUUAGUGCUUCCACUUGCUCCUUCGAAAUCGUCCUCACCUGCGAGGGGAUCGGAAUCACCGUCUUGGAGGAGGAUUGCUAUGACGGAGAGGCCGCCGUCGUCUGCUUUAUGGAUUAGAUGAAGCUCGGCAGCAAAUCUGUUCGAAUCAGAAAGUACGGAGAACAAGAGGAUAACAGGUUCUAGCUGUUGAAAGAAAUUUGAAUGGCUAGGUUGCAACUUGUAAGUGCCUAUUCCCCCUUCGAUAUCUCUUACCCUCUUUUAAAACAGAGAAUUCAUGAUCAUGGUAUAGCACAACAAUUAUUUUCAUUUCCCAA